GUCAUUUACUUGGAAUGCACCCUAUUGUAAAUGGAGAGGACAUUACUUGGUUUGUGUGAUCUAGUUCUAGGAAGUCAGCGUGCAUCGGCCUUAUGUUCCCUACCUCCAAGCCCUAUUCUCCUGCCUCAGUAGCACUGCAACCUAGAGAGCAUUUGCCUGUUUGACUGUUAAGGCUUCCAUGUUCGGGAUGUGUGGGAACUUGCCCUGGAAAAACAAAGGCCCACCUUAGGAGAAGAACACAGGCCAGAGACACCCUGCUUCUGAGCUACCCUCAACCAGCCACCUCUGGAAGCACUGGCAACUCAUCCCCAGGGGCUGUUGCCCAGCAACUGGGUUUGGCACACCAAGUGAAAUCCACUAGAUGCUGGCUCAGCUGACCUAUCCACUCCAUUUUCUGUCAUUUCCCUCAGCACUACCUGUACUCCAGCCACAGAGAACUAUGCAAUCAUCUCUGAACAUAGUUCAGCUGUCUGCUUAUUUUCCCUACAGAGCACCCUUCCCCUGUGUCUGCCAGGAAUACCCCUCUUACCCAGCAAGGUCCUACUAGAACAUUUACUCCUCACUGACGCUCUUACCCGCAAAAUAUAUGGACCCACCUAUGAUUUCCUCAUGAUGGUCAGCACAUAUCUCUGUGCUGGCCAAAAUGUUGGCAGUGCCAAAAUGUUUGGCACUGGCCAAAAUGUUACUUUUUAUCUGAUUGUGUAGCUUUUUCCCCAUUUAAAUGUGAAUCCAGACCCUAUCCCCUUGGUAUCCUGAAAAUCAGGUGGAUCAUGAUCCUCUAGUUGACUGGGAUUGGCUUUCAAGUGGAUAGAUUUAGGUUUAUCCAAGUGCUAAUGGAUGGCAGGUUGCAAAGAGGUCAUAGGGGGAGCAUUUGGAAGAUUGGGGCAGAGGUUUCAAACACUUUUUUUUAACAAUUAUUUUGACCUGUCUGCACGCUGGUUUUAUUUACCAGUUAUGUAUACUUUACUCCACUGAAGAAAGAACUUUUGUCUGUUCACUAUGGAUGGAGAGCAAAGAUUUGAUUCAGCUGAACAACAGCCCCCAGUAUUUGCACAUAUACAAUCUCCUGAGAAGAGAUUCAGGAACUGUCUUCCAUAUUUAGAAACAGCUCAAAGGUUCAAUUGAUCUUGGAUGCCCAGUGGGCUCCAGGAUAAAUAAAAACUUUUGAUUCCCCUAGGGCUUUCUGGUUUCCAUUUUUAUCCCUUAGUGUUUGACUAAACACCACAUGAAAAUGAAAAACCUAUAUCAACUUUCCUAAUUGAAGCUGUGUCUGAUUAUGGAAACACUUAAAACAUAAAAAUGGGUUGCACAUGGCUUGCUCCUGGCACUGAGUUCAGGAACUACUUCCUGCUGUCAAUCCAAUGAAUUCAACACUGCACUAUGGAUGGUAACAAUAUUCAUCUUCAACUGACAAUACUUCACAAUAUUCAGUUUAAAAUCAUUUUCCUGGCUAGGUCACUUUAACUUUGUAAGUAAACACUGCCAAAAUUCCCACAGUCUAGCUAAGACUUUGAGUUUAUAUAUAAACUGAAUUUAUACAAGAGGCUGAAGGAUAUGGUCACAGACUCUUUUUUCUACUAGCAGAAGGAAGUUGGCUUCAGCCUGAAGCUUUCUCAAUAAUUAGAACUAUAGGACUAUCAUGUCCUAUUUUCUACAAUUUUCAAGUAAGGAAACCUAAAAUCUAAAAACAAAACAAAACACAAGCAUAAUAAGGCUGGGUUAGGCCAUACCUGUACUUUGUACUCAUAUCCAGACCAUACUUCAUUUGGAGGGUCAUGGGAAGCUGUUUUUGUUCAUAUUGAUAUUCUACUGGAAAUUAAAAUUUUAUGAAAAUUACAGUUCAAGGUAUUGACUCUGAUAAGGCUAAUGAAGAUAAUCAGAAAAUAUCAACUUUAGAACCCUAAAUGGCUUAGUUAAUCUUAAAUUACCCGUAAGAGGUAAGGGAAGGUAUUUCAGCCACAAUGGGGAUCUGUGGAAUCAUGCUUUCUAUGCAUGUCAGUCGGCUAAUACUAUUGAAAGUCUUCCCAGUACCGGGGAAACACUUCUCCUGCCUUUGCAUCCUGGGCCAGCAUCUCCCUGGUCUCAGCCUGUGAAGAGCAGAGGCAAAAUGUGUGCUCCAUAAUACAGAGAAUAAGCCCUUUAGAAGCACCCAAAUGGGUUUCAAAUCUCAGCUCUGCUGCUUACUAGAAUUUUGCAUCUGGAAUUUGCAUCUUCUUUUUUUAAAAUAUAUGAAAAUACAUUUUAUUAUUAUUUCAGUGUAUAAUAUAUUAGUGAAUACACCAGAUUGCAUUUUCUCAAAUGGCCCAUAAAUUACACGAUAACAUUUCUCUUUGAUUCCUGAGAUCUUCAAUAUUAUUUGUCUUUCAGAACAUCUACAUUCUUACCAUGACUGUGAAACUGAUACUGCCCACAAGGAUACCAGUACUGAGUGAUAAAGAACAUUUUGCUUGUUCUAUCGUGGUCCUUGCUUAAGGGGAUUGUUGGACGGAUGUUGUGGGAACUGAACUUGAAGAAGGAAGAGCCCAUCAUUUGGACACAUCUUAGGGCUUCCCAGCUGCACCAGGUUAUGGACAAGGCACCUGGAACCCCAACCCUUCCAGUCACUAACCACAUGGCCUGAGAUGUCAUUUCAUGCAGCUGGGCUCUUUGUGCUCAUCAGCAAGUGAUGUAAAUAAAGCAUGUGAGGUUAGCACACCGUACAUUCUCAAAUCCUGGAGCUACUGGUCCUCUUGUGACUAUUAUUAAUAUUAUAAUGAACUUUUGAAAAAAUGA